rnacentral:rRNA from 1 species
CCUACGGGAGGCUGCAGUCGAGAAUCAUUCACAAUGGGGGAAACCCUGAUGGGGCGACGCCGCGUGGGGGAAUGAAGGUCUACGGAUUGUACACCCCUGUCAUGUGGGAGCAAAUUAAAAAGAUAGUACCACAAGAGGAAGAGACGGCUAACUCUGUGCCAGCAGCCGCGGUAAUACAGAGGUCUCAAGCGUUGUUCGGAAUCACUGGGCGUAAAGCGUGCGUAGGCUGUUUCGUAAGUCGUGUGUGAAAGGCGCGGGCUCAACCCGCGGACGGCACCUGAUACUGCGAGACUAGAGUAAUGGAGGUGGAACCGGAAUUCUCGGUGUAGCAGUGAAAUGCGUAGAUAUCGAGAGGAACACUCGUGGCGAAGGCGGGUUCCUGGACAUUAACUGACGCUGAGGCACGAAGGCCAGGGGAGCGAAAGGGAUUAGAUACCCGGGUAGUC